GCCGAAGUGGCGGAAUUGGCAGACGCGCUAGGUUCAGGUCCUAGUUCCCUUCACUGGGAGUGCAGGUUCAACUCCUGUCUUCGGCA
rnacentral:tRNA from 1 species